rnacentral:rRNA from 1 species
CCUACGGGUGGCAGCAGUGGGGAAUAUUGGACAAUGGGGGGAACCCUGAUCCAGCGACGCCGCGUGAGUGAAGAAGUAUUUCGGUAUGUAAAGCUCUAUCAGCAGGGAAGAAAGAAAUGACGGUACCUGACUAAGAAGCACCGGCUAACUACGUGCCAGCAGCCGCGGUACUACGUAGGGGGCAAGCGUUAUCCGGAUUUACUGGGUGUAAAGGGAGCGUAGACGGCGAUGCAAGUCUGAAGUGAAAGGCGGGGGCGCAACCCCCGGACUGCUUUGGAAACUGUAUGGCUGGAGUGCAGGAGAGGUAAGUGGAAUUCCUAGUGUAGCGGUGAAAUGCGUAGAUAUUAGGAGGAACACCAGUGGCGAAGGCGGCUUACUGGACUGUAACUGACGUUGAGGCUCGAAAGCGUGGGGAGCAAACAGGAUUAGAUACCCUUGUAGUC